rnacentral:rRNA from 1 species
UACAGAGGGUGCGAGCGUUGUUCGGAAUUAUUGGGCGUAAAGGGCGCGUAGGCGGUGCGGUAAGUCACCUGUGAAAUCUCCUGGCUCAACUGGGAGCUUGCAGGCGAAACUGCCGUGCUGGAGUGUGGGAGAGGUGAGUGGAAUUCCCGGUGUAGCGGUGAAAUGCGUAGAUAUCAGGAGGAACACCGAUGGCGAAGGCAGCUCGCUGGGACGGUACUGACGCUGAGGCGCGAAAGCGUGGGGAGCAAACAGG